GAUCCUGGCUCAGGAUGAACGCUGGCGGCGUGCCUAACACAUGCAAGUCGAGCGAAGCAAUCGAGAUGAAGUUUUCGGAUGGAUUCUUAAUUGACUGAGCGGCGGACGGGUGAGUAACGCGUGGGUAACCUGCCUCAUACAGGGGGAUAACAGUUAGAAAUGACUGCUAAUACCGCAUAAGCGCACAGUACCACAUGGUGCGGUGUGAAAAACUCCGGUGGUAUGAGAUGGACCCG
rnacentral:rRNA from 1 species